CGACCCGUUGGGUGCCGGUCUAAGGCCUGGGAUGGCAGACCAUGUGUCCUGUGGGGGUUCCCACAGGCGUGUGGACUCUUGGUGACCCGGCCGGCUGCCCGACGGUAUGACCAGAGGAGUCGAUCCGCUAAAUGGGAAUCACUGUGGUUGUGAAGCGUCCGGCCUGGUGCCGAUGCGUGCGGGGAUUGAGGUGCAAACCGGGGGUGUCCGUGCGAAGCACGGCCCCGGCCCUGCUGCGUGUUCGGUGCCGGUGUCCUCGGACUGGAUCUGUUCUCCCGUCUGCGACGCCCACCUUCGGAUGGUCUCCCGACCCGUCUUGAAACACGGACCAAGGAGUCUAACAUGUGCGCGAGUCAUUGGGUGUUACUAAACCUAAAGGCGCAAUGAAAGUGAAGGCUGCUUUGGAGUGGGCGGCCGAGGGAAGAUGGUACUGGGUUUCCAGGAUCCUCGUGGUCCAGGGCCCGGCCCGCAUUCCCGGGGCGUCUCGUCCUCACUGCGAGGUGAGGCGCACCUAGAGCGUACACGUUGGGACCCGAAAGAUGGUGAACUAUGCCUGGCCAGGACGAAGUCAGGGGAAACCCUGAUGGAGGUCCGUAGCGAUUCUGACGUGCAAAUCGAUCGUCGGAGCUGGGUAUAGGGGCGAAAGACUAAUCGAACCAUCUAGUAGCUGGUUCCCUCCGAAGUUUCCCUCAGGAUAGCUGUCACUCGGAGGAAAAUGGUAUGAGUCUCAUACGGUAAAGCGAAUGAUUAGAGGCCUUGGGGCCGAAACGACCUCAACCUAUUCUCAAACUUUAAAUGGGUGAGAACUCCGGCUUGCUUGGGAACUGAAGCCGGAGACGGAUAACGAGUGCCAAGUGGGCCACUUUUGGUAAGCAGAACUGGCGCUGUGGGAUGAACCAAACGCCGAGUUAAGGCGCCUGAAUCGACGCUCAUGGGAAACCAUGAAAGGCGUUGGUUGCUUAAGACAGCAGGACGGUGGCCAUGGAAGUCGGAAUCCGCUAAGGAGUGUGUAACAACUCACCUGCCGAAGCAACUAGCCCUGAAAAUGGAUGGCGCUGAAGCGUCGUGCCUAUACUCGGCCGUCAGCGGCAUUGGGAGUGGUCGGGGCCUCGGUCCCGGCGCUCGAAGAAGCCCCUGACGAGUAGGAGGGUCGCGGCGGUGAGCGCAGAAGGGCAGUGGCGUGAGCCUGCCUGGAGCCGCCGUCGGUGCAGAUCUUGGUGGUAGUAGCAAAUACUCCAGCGAGGUCCUGGAGGACUGAUGCGGAGCAGGGUUUCGUGUGAACAGCCGUUGCACACGAGUCAGUCGAUCCUAAGCCCUAUGUGAAAGCUGAUGCCGAUGGGUGGUCGAAAGGAGUUGGCCGAUACCCCCGGCGGGCGAAAGGGAAUCCGGUUCCUAUUCCGGAACCCGGCAGCGGAACCGUUCCGAUUCGGGCCCUCGCGAGAGUGUUCGUCGGGGUAACCCAAAAGGACCCGGAGACGCCGUCGGGAGAUCUGGGGAGAGUUUUCUUUUCUGUAUGAGCGUUCGAGUUCCCUGGAAUCCUCUAGCAGGGAGAUAGGGUAAGGGACGCGAAGAGCACCGCAGUUGCGGCGGUGUCCAGAUCUUCCCCACGGACCUUGAAAAUCCGGGAGAGGGCCACGCGGAGCAUUCGCGCCG
rnacentral:rRNA from 1 species